rnacentral:rRNA from 1 species
UACGGAGGGUGCAAGCGUUAUCCGGAUUCACUGGGUUUAAAGGGUGCGUAGGCGGGCCGGUAAGUCCGUGGUGAAAUCCCCGAGCUUAACUCGGGAACUGCCAUGGAUACUAUUUGUCUUGAAUAUUGUGGAGGUAAGCGGAAUAUGUCAUGUAGCGGUGAAAUGCUUAGAUAUGACAUAGAACACCAAUUGCGAAGGCAGCUUACUACACAGUUAUUGACGCUGAGGCACGAAAGCGUGGGGAUCAAACAGG